GCUUGACUGCAUCCGGUGGGGGUGGCUUUCCUGCAGAGCGACAAGUUUGAGCCCAGAGUUUUUCAGGAAUAAGUUUCCUUCUCCCCAUUCCUAUACGGGCUUCAGAAGCUGCAUGGUGGCUGUUUUCUGAGAGGAGGAACUGCAGGUGCCUUUCCCUGAAGUGACAACUCUGGGUGUUCUCAGUGGAAUAAUGAAUGUUCUUCUGCCACUCUCAGUGGUCUUUACUGAACCAAGUAAGAUGGCCUGGCAUGUGUUCACUGACAAGAGGAACAAAAUUGUCCCUUGUGCUAGCGUUCCUAGCAUCUACUGCUGCAAUGGCUUUUAUGCCUCUUCUGGCUGCUACAGUCUUACCAAAGACAGCUCCCUGGCCCAGAGCCACAGAAUUUGAGGUUGGAAAGACCCAGAGUGCUCAUCUAGCUGACCUCCCACCUAGACAGCCC
rnacentral:lncRNA from 1 species